GGGAGGAGCUUAUGAUAUUGGCUGAAAUGUCUGAACCUGACUGAGACAUCUUUGUGAUGUAUCACUUUUAUGCCCUGAAGCUUCUCCAAGA
ensembl:snoRNA